rnacentral:rRNA from 1 species
UACGUAGGGUCCGAGCGUUGUCCGGAAUUAUUGGGCGUAAAGGGCUCGUAGGCGGUUCGUCACGUCGGGAGUGAAAACUCGGGGCUUAACCCCGGGCCUGCAGUGGGUACGGGCAGACUAGAGUGCGGUAGGGGAGACUGGAAUUCCUGGUGUAGCGGUGAAAUGCGCAGAUAUCAGGAGGAACACCAAUAGCGAAGGCAGCUCGCUGGGACGUUACUGACACUGAGGCGCGAAAGCGUGGGGAGCGAACAGG